ACGGGUGUGGUGGAAUGGUAUACACAUUAAACUUAGAUCUUAAUAGUACUUCUUACUGUGUGGGUUCAAAUCCCACCAUCCGUA